CUUUUGGGCAGAAAGCUUAAAUAAAAAUGAGGUGCACCUGGGAAGGUAAGUGUGAAGAAACAGAAUGAUUGGAGGGCUAGAAACCAUCACCUACCUGCUCAGCAGAAAGAAAGAGGUAUGCUGCUGCCCUCAGCACAGCCCAGGUUGAGCGAUGGAAUGGCCCUAUGCGAAUAAACAGCGACGGUGUGGAGUCACCCAUGUCUGGGACUGUCUCUUACGUGAUUGCCAUAGUUAUAUUUGAACAGAAGGAAAGUUAAAUGGAUAAUGUCUGCUGUCUGGUCUCUGGAGUACAUCAAUUAUUCUCAAGGAAAUAUCUUUCCUUUGCUGAGUGGCACAUGCCUACCUGCUCUCGCUGCCCUUCUUUUCGGGAUCUGACAGAGCAGCCAGAUCUUCUCUCUUGUUGCAGGAUUUUACCUCAUGCUGCAGAGCAUCCACAGAAGAAAAAACGUGGAAGGACUCGUGGUGACCCAGUUUUUCUCAUGCAUGCAUACAAGAACUGCAGUGAGAGAAAGAUUCUUCCCGCUGUCAAAAUGGUGCCCUUUACAGAGGUCAACUUUUGUCUGGACCAUCUAUACAUGAAUUUUUGGAGCCCUCUCAGUACUGUAAAUCCUUGCAUGCAGCUUCAAAGUGGAAGUUACCUUCAGAGGGAAGUGAUUUGAACUGUUUUACUCACUAUUAUGAAAGAAAUCACAACCAUCUGAGGAACAGUGUGCUCUCACCUGCUGUGAGAAUCGUCCAGCCACAUCUAGUAGAGCCAUUUGCAUUAGUAAUUACCUGUCAUUUCCUGCAAAUCCAAUUACUUUGAAUUAAAAUUUAAAAUGACUUUACAAUUACUGAAACAUACUUGUUAGUGUGAGAGUAAGCAAUGUUUUUACUGUCCCACAUUUAAAAAGGAGCAGAGGUUCUUAACCCUGUAAGAGAGCAACUGUUUCUGAUAUGCUUUCUGAGAUGCACAGUAUGUGCAAAGACACAAACCUUAUUUGCUUCAUGCUGCUGACUAUAACUGCGGUCAACUGAUGUUGCUCUCACAAGUGAGAUAAAUUAAUUAGCUUCUUAAACUGUAUGUACUGUGCACAUAGCAGUAAAUUAUCAUACACAAGAUUCCUAAAUUGCCAAUAUGGAUUAUUCCACUUGAAUUAUGGAACUGUAUUUCCUAAAAAAUAUUAUCUGAAAAUUUACUGACCCUGAAUUACCUCAUGUCUUGUGUAAGAGACAGAUGAUCAAAGAGAUUGUCUUUCUAUCCACCUGAAAUGCACUGAAUGAUAAAAGGGAUCAUACAUAAUGAUGAAGCUAGGGCAUCCUAUUUUAUAGUUAUGUCACUGGGACUUUGACUGUUAUUCCACUUCAGUGCCUUGGAGAAAAUAAAUGUGCUCUUGUUUCUUCUUGCAAACCAGACCUUGCAUGUAGCAUAAAUGACUUCCCAGCUUUCAAGCAUGAUUUCGCAGACUCAAAGGCUUAAUAUGAGUGUCUGCUUGGAGGAGGCAGUGCCCUGUAAACUGCUAAUAGGAGUCAAUGAAUCCUGACUGAUUCAGCAGGCAGAGAAUAUUUGAUGUUUAAGAUCAUAAAAUAUUAUGAGAAAAUACAUUAAUUUUACUGUCUGCUGCCUGGAAAAAAAGGAUGGAUUUCGUUAAAAGGAAGAAUAAAAACUUGUUUUUCUAUAUUAUAUAAAAC
rnacentral:lncRNA from 7 species